rnacentral:rRNA from 1 species
UGGGGAAUUUUGGACAAUGGGGGAAACCUUGAUCCAGCCAUCCCGCGUGUGCGAUGAAGGCCUUCGGGUUGUAAAGCACUUUUGGCAGGAAAGAAACGUCAUGGGUUAAUACCCCGUGAAACUGACGGUACCUGCAGAAUAAGCACCGGCUAACUACGUGCCAGCAGCCGCGGUAAUACGUAGGGUGCAAGCGUUAAUCGGAAUUACUGGGCGUAAAGCGUGCGCAGGCGGUUCGGAAAGAAAGAUGUGAAAUCCCAGAGCUCAACUUUGGAACUGCAUUUUUAACUACCGGGCUAGAGUGUGUCAGAGGGAGGUGGAAUUCCGCGUGUAGCAGUGAAAUGCGUAGAUAUGCGGAGGAACACCGAUGGCGAAGGCAGCCUCCUGGGAUAACACUGACGCUCAUGCACGAAAGCGUGGGGAGCAAACAGG